UAUGCUUAUAAGUGUGGCACAGCUGGGUAUCCCAGCGUUUACACUAGGGUCACAUCGUACCUUGACUUCAUUCUCCAAGCGAUGCAAUAAUAUGAUAUUACUGUUCCAUAAAUAUCAUUGUGUAAAAAACGUAAAGUUGGAUUUUCUUAUUGUGGAGAUAAGAAACAGCUCAAAUUUACAUUGUUUUGUACGUUACAAAUUAUAGGCUUAAAAUGUACGAAAUGUAACUUUGAAACGACACUAAUUUUUUACGCACGAUAAACCUCCACGACUUAGAUUAUAGAUUCCUAUACGACUCUCAGUAAAAAUUUAUCCGCACUCCAGAUAGUUAAAACUUCUGUCGACCGUAUUGAUCCAUCUGCACUCUUCGUAUGACGUCAAUAUCUGUUCAGUGCUGCUGCGCAGGUUUCUUUGUGUUACGUCAAUUCGUUUGUGACCGUUGCGCGAGUAAUGGCGCUUUGCAAUGGUGAUUUGCAGGAAAACAGUGCAGAAUGCUGUGAUUCGUUUCUUGUGGUCGGAGGUUAUGUUUGAUGCCUAUAUUUAUCAAAGAUUUAAUGCACAUUAUGGAGAAAGUGUUUUGUCACGAAGUGUGUUUGAAUGGGCACAAAAGUUCAAAGAAGAUCGCACAAGUGUUAUGAAAAAACAGCUGGACGCCCGUCCACAUCCACGAUGACAACAUUGAACGUGCUCAUGAACUUAUGCUCUAUGGAAUAGACGAGUGACACUGGAUAAUGUGGCAAAUCAUUUGCAAAUCAGCCACGGCUCUGCUUAUGCAAUAGUGCACGACAGAUUUGGGUUUUAAAAAGUUUGUGCGAGAUGGAUGCCGAAAAAGCUGAUGAAAAGGUGAAGACGACGAUGCAUUCGUGGUUCGCAGCUCAGCCCAAAACAUUUUUUAAUGAGAAAAUACGAAGGUCCUUCGGCAAAUGGACAAAGUGUAUACAGAAAUCGAGUGAUUAUGUCAAAAAAUGAUGUAUGUCUUUUUUGACAAUUGCUUAAAAUAAAUUCUACACCGACAGAGCGGGCUGUUAAUCUAGAGGCUGGAGUACAAAGAAGUGGCACAAUGAUGUGGGCUGAUGACAUUUAUAAUUAUCAAGGAAUCACCCCUACAUUCGCUCAGAAUUUUAAUGAAACUGUCCCUUGGGAAGGAAGAACUGAUACCUUGAUAUCACGGUUUGUACAUCCUAUAUAUACGACAAAUUUUAGAACAUUAUAUAACGAAGAACCAGAUCGUCGUGGCCAUGUGAUGUGAAUAAAAGGACUUGAAUUUGAUGAUAUUUUUAUAAUGUUAGAUAACAUAACUAAGUAUCUUCACAGUAAGAUAGGAUGACAUGGUUUACAUGAUCUUAAUGUUGUUCACUCGAGUGAUGAUAUUAUAAGGAAAAGCGUAAUAUCACAGGAUAUUUAUGUUUAGUAACCAGUAAUUCAGAGAUUGGUAUUCAUGGUUACUAUAACGAGGCUGUAGAAACGCACCCUUUCUUCUUUGCAAAUGGUCCUGUAUUUAUGUCUAAGCCGAAACUGGAACCUCUGAAUAAUUUAGAUUUAUUCUUGUUAUUUUCUAAAAUACUUAUCUACAGUAUACCAUAAGGAAUGAUACCGUAUCGCACCUAAUCAAGUGCCUUAAGAAACAUCAACAGGAUAUCACAGUAAUCCCUUAUCGACAGAUAUUUGUAGCCACUACAAUAUCUAUGACACUGGUAGUAAUUAUAAGAACAAUAAUGAUGUUCUAUAAGAGGAAAUGAUGAUUAGGAACAAAAACUUACAGAAGAUAUCAUGCGGUGGAUGGAUAAUAUGCAAAAAAUAUUAAGCAGUAUAUGAAUUUUCGUAUUGCGUAGAGAUAACAAAAUGAAUUUUAAAAAAUGUCGACACGGUAAUAAGAAAUAGCAUCAUGACAAAGAAUAUAUAAAGACAGUUUCAUUUUUUAUAAAUAAAAAUUUGUUGUUCCAGAUUUUGAAAUACAGUGAAACGUUUAAUUAGUAUCUUAAUAUCUUUAAAUAAUUAUUAUUUUAGAAUCAAUUGUAAUUGUAUCAUACGUACUUUUGAAUUCGUGCAAGAACAUAUGUAAUUUUGAAGUAGUUAUUAUUAGGAAACUGUUAGACGCGAACAGUAUGCGGAAAGUUAGUAUGCAGUGUAAUAAUUAUCAAUCAAAACACAAGAAUUAAAUUCUUGAGGAAAAAAUUUCCGGAAUUUCUUAUUUACAUGAUUAUAAAGAAAUCCAUAAUAAAAAGGAGCUGCUUUCUAAUACUUCUCUUCCUUGUAAUGCCUAUGUUAAUAAUAACGAGGUUCGACUUUUUGUUUUUAGAGGGAUACUGGAAAAUUUGAAAGUACAGUACCAUUGGGAAGAAAAUCACGAUAUUGAAAACGAUAUUUGCAAAUUGAACAAUAUUCCAGAUUUAUUCAUAAUUUCAUACUACGCGAAGAAUAGACUUUCAUAGGUAUAUAAAGGAAAUAUUAAGUAUAGGAAAACUCUUUUUCGUUGUAGGUGACAUAUGCUUCACGGUUGAACACAUGUAUUUUUGAACACAUAUAAAUGAAAAAGUACUCUUAUGGAGAAAAAGAAUUGAUACCUUCGAUUGACAUUAGAUAAUGUAUAUAAACUUAUGAACAAUCACUAUCAGUUUGUAUUUUAGGUGCACACGCAGAUUUGUUGGAGUUCUUAUAAAAUGUACUUCCUGUACGAACGUUUUAUUCUUCCAAAUUUUACGAUACUAUGUCUCAUAUAAUAACUAUAUGGAUUAAACGUAAUAUAAAUGAUCCGAAAAUAGACUCGAACGACAUUAAUUGUCUUUCUAUUUAUACCAAUAUCGAAAAUACAAGUAAAGCUGGAGCAAUAGUAUGCAAGAAUGGACUAUUUAUUAUUUUAAACCAAAUCAUAGCAUAUUCAGAAUGCACAGUAUUAUCAUGAAAUGUAAAUGAAUCAGUUGUAAACGAACGAUUUUACUGUAAAAUCGUUGCCUCCUUUUUUUCAUCUGAAAUAUAGCAGCAAUGAGUACAUUCUUUUAAUAUAUAAUAAAACGAGAUAUCUUUAUAAAGUUACAUAUGUCAUCACUGGUAACUGUUAUCUCGUAUGACACCAAAUAUACCGUUAGUAUGGAAUGAUAUUUUUAUGAAGAUAUACUUUAAUGAUAGGUUUUAUGAAUGAAACGUUAUAUAAGAAAAAUUAUCUCUUGUUAUUCUAUGAAGUGUAGUAGCUAAUGAAGAUUAAUUUUACGAAGUAUUAGAGCAAAAGAGAAUUAAAAAAUUAAAAAGAUCUAAAUAAGAUUGUUCGUGUGGCUUAGUUAUCUCAAUUCUGAUACACCACUUGUUACAUUCUAACUAAUUAGCGCUAAACAAUAACUUGCAAAUAUUAAAGAUAUUAACACCUAAAGGUUUUCAGGAAAUUUUAUAAUAUUUGAUUAUUGUAUAUCUAGUCAUUGAUUGAUAAAAUUUCUUGUAUAAGCAUAGAUCGAGGUUGACGUCAUACGCAGAUUGCAUAUCAUUGACAGGUAUCGUUUUAAUUUAUUUUAUGGCUAGAAUCAUUUGAAUAUUAUACGAAUAAUUAUUUCCAUUCGAACGAUUAAUAAAUCACGUACCUAUAAAAGAUAUAUUAUGAAAAAGACGUAACGAAACAAAAAAAUAUUGGAAAUUCCGUUGUCAUUAGAUCAAUUAUUUUUGCAAUGAUUUUUAUUUCCAUGUAAUUACAUAUGAAAUGGGUAAUUCAUUAACAUCUCCUCGAAUCGAAUAUAAUUCGUUACACUUCACAACGAUUCAAAUAAUGGACGGGAAAUAUAUAAUAAGCUUCCUGUCCUUGCGUUAAAAUAGUACUGUACAAAUCAGAUGAUACAGGAAAUACCCAAAAAACCCAAUUACAUCUACAUUGCAUGACAGCACACUUGCAAUGGAUUUUUGUGAUUUCAAUGUCACAGACAAUGACACAACUAAUCAGAACACGUUCGAGGCUAUAGACAUUGAAAUUACCGCGUGUUUAAUACGUUUAAAGCAUAAAUCUAAAUUUCACGCGAUUAUUUCUUUGUACAUUGUGAAACUCUUAAAUUAUCUUAAUCGAAUAAAUAAUCCUAAUGUAAUAAAACAUCUUGAAAUAGACCUAGAUAUCUGAAACAGAAACUCGAAGGAUAAGAAAUCCUAAAAGGUACUAAUCCUAAAAUAACAAACUCCUAAAUAAUAAACAAGUGAUAAAACCUGUUAUAAAUAAUAAACCUUACCUGGAAUAAUCAAAUCCUAACUAAUCGAAAAUAAAAUAAGGCAAGCAAUUCUUAAUCUUUCAAGUAAUUUUUCCGAAAACACAGAAAGAUAGAGAAAUUAAAAAGACGCAGCACAAAUUGCAGCACAAUGAAAGUUUCAGAGCGAUGAAUACGAUCGUAUUAAACUAAAUAAUUUUCAAAAGUGAAAUUACACUGAAACGUAUAUCGAUGAUAUUUGUCAUUUCUACGAUCUGUUUCGCUUGAUCGUGCUUCUUUUCUGAUGUAAAUUCAAUUUAUAAUACGAACUAAGUUUCCUUUAUUAUUAUUAGUCCUGCGUCUUUUUAAUUCGUCACUUCUUUUAUUUCAGAACAAUGACGGGCUCCAAGAUGUUGUUCGGAUGUUUGGCGUUAAUUGCUUUUCUGCAUCCAUUAGUUCACGUUUGUACUUCGAGUAGUGCAGCUCAAGGUUUGUACUUCGAGUUGUCUUUUUCCAUGCACUUCAAAUUCCAAUACGAUCUGGUCACGUGGCCUUCGUACAAUUUCGAAAUUUUACCUGUUUGGUAAUCGUCAAUGAAAAAAGAAGUUAUGCGUGACCUCAACACAUUGAAACAAUUUUUAUGAUUUUUUAUUUGCCGGUUGGUCAGCAAGUUAAUGGAAAAAUUUCACUUAACUAUUCGCGUUAAUUUCUUCGGUUUAACUUUUGGGAAAUGCUUCGUUAGCUUCGGGAAUAUUCCAACGAUUCGUUUUACGUACAAAAUAAGCAUGAUAAAUAUUACAUCACGGUAAUGAAAACUAUUGGCGUAAUACCUAAGAUAAAGAUGCAGAGACAUUCUUAGAAUUUCUAAUGACACCUUUAUAGAUUUCUCGUUUAAUAUCGCUACUACAUUUGAAUCACUUUUACCUAACGGUGUCACAUAGUCUCGUUGGAAAUUUGUCAAAUUCCUUAAAAUGAUCACUGAAAAUUUUCCUAAAUUUCCAAGAAUUUAUUUAUCACGAGGUAAAGAAAAUGUGUAUUAGAAAGAUGAGAUCGAAGGUUUACCAUUUUUUCAAUUAUGGCGAACGCAAUAUGUAAUCAAUGAAAAUUUUAUAUUUUCACGUUGAAAGUUUCUUCAGAUAAUUAUUAUCCAGAUGAUGACUAACUCUUACGAAUUAAUGCGUGUCUGUAGGAUAAUCCGGUAGACUUGAUGCGCUUUUUAUAUCGAAAGUUGAGCAAUCGGUGACGCGUUCUUAUACACCGAACCGCGAAAAGCAAAAUUUCAUAUGAUCUCACCAAUUUCGGAUGUCAGUCAAAUCAGUCAAAUCAGUCAAAUAAUAAGUUCGCGUUAAUGUACACGUUCGAUUUUUGAAAAGCUUGUUCAAUUUAAUAAGAGUCUUGGUAACAGGCUUAUGUUUUUAGACCUAAUUGGUUGUUUUCAUUUACAAGUACCUCGUGUUAAAGUACUCAUAAAAUGACAUUAAAAUCAGAAAACUAAUAACUGAAAGAUUAUCAUUUUUCCUCUGUGGUAGUUUACAUAUAACAUAAUGCAACUAACAUGUCACGAUUAAUGCAAAAUAAAUAAAUUACUAAUAUAGACAUUUUUUUAGUAAUUUGUAUAAUCGUGAAACGAAUUGGACUUUCUAAAGGCAAAUAUUAAAGGAAACAUGGAAUUGAUGCCAAAUCUAUCACAAAUAUUAUUUAUACUACUUAUUUGCGCAGUUUGAAGCGAAUCAAAUUGAUGAAGGUUUCUUUGUUACAUGUUAAUUUACAUUUUACAAGACAUAACAGGCACGCUAAUUAGUUUGCUUAAGAUACUUUCGAGAUACCAAGUUAGACGCGUUUCCAUGAAAUCAUAUCAAUUUUACGAUGAUAUUUUUCUAUCAAGCAUGCAAUUAUAACCGUAUAGUUGAUUAGUGCAUACAAUUAUCCAUGUACAUUCGUCUUUCCGAGUACCGCGCUUCAAUAUUGCUAAUUUCAAAUUCGUACAUUAAUGUUCGUAAAUGCUUGAAAAUGCUAUAUAACUGUAUCAGCUUCUGUUAAAAACAUUUUAUAGUAAAAUCUCUAUAAAUUUGUAAUAUUUUUUAGACAAUUUGAAUUCAUUAUAUUAUACAUCAUACAUUCUAGUCAUUUCUAAUUAAGUUACUUUUGCGAUGUUUAAUUAUAUUUUAUGUAUAUUCUUAUAACUCUCUAUGUUACGGCGCGUACGAUGGUCCGUGCGCCGUCUGAAACUUUAUACUAUAUACUGAUCUACUACAUACUAUAUACUAUAAACUUAAUCCUUUGACGUAAUCUUAAUAGCUUGAAGGAAUCUCUAACCCUGUAACUGUUUUCGGUUUAUGGAUGGUCCUUAGAACAAUGCUUAGGUUUAUUGCGCACUCUUACAAAUAACGGAGAAAGCGGGUAGUUAUUUUUCCAAUAAACAAUGUCACCCACGAGCCACGUUGGUAGGAGGCUUCCUCCUCCUAUCUUCAUUCAUUAACGUUGGCUAUAAUCAAUGGGCACCCUCACUUUCCUAACGAAAAGUGUGAACAACGAAUCCGUGUUCUUCGUUCAGAAAGCACACCCACACUGAGAUUUCCUCUCGUGGCGGCACACGAGAACGCAAAUCUCACCACUCGAAACCAACUAGUGUCGGACGACGGCAGCGCAGUGGUUAGCGCCAUAGAGUACAAACGUUCGGAUCCCGGGUUCAAAUCCCGGCGCCUCGUACUUUUCCAAAGUCCGAUUUUUCUUCCACGACAUCUAAAUAAGAAGGAAAUACAGCAGUACUACACCCCGGCAAGCGACAUCUACAGCCAGCAGCCUACAAUUAUCACGGAUAUAUGAAGGAAGACGGAGAAAAAGAAGAAAAAAAGUGUGUUUCGUCCAGAGCCUGCUAGUGGACUCAUCAGUAAGGCUUACCUAGCAGGCUCAUGCCUUAGACACAAUGGAAGGAGGGGGAAACAAAGCUAUGUACAUGGCAGAGACAUUGAAGACGGAUUCCUCCCUCCCACGGCCGGACACUGUAUCCAAGGCCGGUCGGAUCUCCUACCCUCUCUUGCGACGUAUCCCAGUGGAGCGGCCCCACUCUUAAUCUAGUUUGGUGGGAAAGGUUCGCGUACACACCGUGUGUAAGAACUAUUAAAAA